rnacentral:rRNA from 1 species
AUUGAACGCUGGCGGAAUGCUUUACACAUGCAAGUCGAACGGCAGCACGGACUUCGGUCUGGUGGCGAGUGGCGAACGGGUGAGUAAUACAUCGGAACGCGUCCUGUAAUGGGGGAUAACCUGACGAAAGCCAGGCUAAUACCGCAUACGUCCUGAGGGAGAAAGCGGGGGAUCGCAAGACCUCGCGUUAUAGGAGCGGCCGAUGUCGGAUUAGCUAGUUGGUGGGGUAAAGGCCUACCAAGGCGACGAUCUGUAGCGGGUCUGAGAGGACGGCCCGCCACACUGGGACUGAGACACGGCCCAGACUCCUACGGGAGGCAGCAGUGGGGAAUUUUGGACAAUGGGGGCAACCCUGAUCCAGCCAUUCCGCGUGAGUGAAGAAGGCCUGGUGUAAGCUCUUCGCCGGAGAAUACGUGCGGCCGAUACCCUGUAUGGAUGACGGUACCGGAAGAAGAAGCACCGGCUAACUACGUGCCAGCAG